ACCAUGCGUAAUUUCCUCUUUAGUAGAGACGGGGUUCCUCUGUGUUGGCCAGGCUGGUCUCGAAUUACCGACUUCAGCGAUGCGGUUUCACUAUGGUGUCCAGGCUGGUCUGCAACUCCCGGGCUCAAGCGAUCCUCCCGCCCCGCCUCUCAAAGUGCUGGGAAGGUCCCUUCCAGGCUUAAGCAGCGAUAAUGGUUUUCAAGUUAAAAACAAAGAGAAUGGGGUCUUGCUACAUUGUCCAAGCUGGUCUCAAACUCCUGGCCUCAAGUGAUCCUCUCCCCUUGGCCUCCCAAAGUGCUGGAAUUACAGAGACGAGGUCUUACUGUGUUACUCAGGCUGGUCCCUUGGCCUCAAACGAUCCUUCUACCUCAGCCUCUCAAGUAGCUGAGGUUAUAGGAGGAACAGCACAGCAUGCUGGGCUCUGGAUUUAAAGCUGAGCGCUUAAGAGUGAAUUUGAGAUUAGUCAUAAAUCGCCUUAAACUAUUGGAGAAAAAGAAAACGGAACUGGCCCAGAAAGCAAGGAAGGAGAUU
rnacentral:lncRNA from 10 species